GAAUAGGAAGCGAAUUAUUGCACUCGGUUUCGACCCGAAAUUUGGUCCUUUUGACCCCUAUUCU
rnacentral:tRNA from 1 species